GAUCCUGGCUCAGGAUGAACGCUGGCGGCGUGCUUAACACAUGCAAGUCGAACGGGAAUUACUUUAUUGAAACUUCGGUCGAUUUAAUUUAAUUCUAGUGGCGGACGGGUGAGUAACGCGUGGGUAACCUGCCUUAUACAGGGGGAUAACAGUCAGAAAUGGCUGCUAAUACCGCAUAAGCGCACAGAGUUGCAUGGCUCAGUGUGAAAAACUCCGGUGGUACAGGAUGGACCCGCGUCUGAUUAG
rnacentral:rRNA from 1 species